ACUGAACUGAACUGAACUGAACUGAUGGUUAUCAUCAGGCAGUUUUCUUCAACUUCUUGAUGUACAGUAUCAGCAUCGGCAUCGCCACCAUUUUUAUUUUCUGAUGGGUUGUUGGAUGCUGUCUUGGAAGAGGAAAUGGCAACCCAUUCCAGUAUUCUUGCCUGGAGAAUCCAUGAGCAGAGGAGUCUGAUGGGCCACAGUCCAUGGGGUCACAAACAGUGGGAUAACUGAGUGACUGAACAUGCACGUGUCAUCAGAAAUCUUAUCCCAAAACACAAUUACCCGCGCACAUGAUAUGAAGAUAGUUGCUUUGUUCAUUCAUCCUGUAGGUGAACAUGUGUGCUGUUGUGUUCACUUCAUGUAGUCUAAUAACUGAUUUCUUGCUUUUGAAAGGCCUCUUUUUUUUUUUUGAAAGGCCUCUGUUUAAAGGCUGCUUAUAAUGACAUUCAGUCCUUGCAAUAAUGAGGUCACCACUCCACCCACACCCAUCACAAAAAAAUGAAUAAAUCUCUGUUGAAUUUC